rnacentral:rRNA from 1 species
CUGUGUGAAUGCAAGUGUGAACACCUGCUGAAUUUAAGCAUAUAAGUAGGCGGAGGAAAUGACACAAACAUGGAUUCACUGAGUAACUGCGAGUGACAUGUGAUUUGCUCACAGCUGAUAUUCUUUGCUGUCUGCUUUGACAUGAGGACUUUGAGUGCGGUGCCAAUGGUGGUGUAAGUGUGAGCCAUCUUGGAAAAGAGGAGAGUGUGCACUGACAAGGGUGAGAAGCCUGUGUGUGCUUGCAAAAUCUCCAUAUGGGGGUCACGCUUUGAGAAUCAUGCUCUUUGGAAGUGGAGUGUAAAGUGGGUGGUAGACUCUUCUCAAAGCUGAGUACAGAACUGGGACCGACAGGGAAGAAGUACCAUGAGGGAAGUGUGAAAAGGACUUUGGAAAGAGACUUAAAAGAGCCUGUACUUGCUGAAGGAUAUGCAUACAGCAUGCUUGCAUGUGAGAUGAUUGCUGUGUGUAUGAGUCUGACUUUGGCUGGAUGGCCAUGGCCGUGUGCCAUGGACACUUGGCCACCCAAUGUGUAUCCUCUUGUGUGUGCCAGCAUGUGGGAGACAGUCAGUGUUUGAGUGCAGUGGUUGCUGUGUCUGGGGAUACAUCAGAUGUGCACUCAAAGAUCUGAGCAUGUUGAGAAGCAGGUGCAGAAGGGCCCUCCUGUCUGUAUGACCCGUCUUGAAACACGGACCAAGGAGUCUAGCAUGAGUGCAAGCAUAUGGGACCGAAGGCUCUGUGUGCAAUGAAGGUGGAGUCCCAGAUUUGUGCAUGAGUGUUCAAACAAGCAGGAGGACAAGGUUUGAGUCUGAGCAUUCCUGACAGGACCCGAAAGAUGGUGAACUAUGCCCGGAAAGGGCCAAGUCAGGGGAAACUCUGGUGGAGGCUCGUAGCGUUACUGACGUGCAAAUCGUUCGUCACACCUGGGUAUGGGGGCGAAAGACUAAUCGAACCAUCUAGUAGCUGGUUCCCUCUGAAGUUUCCCUCAGGAUAGCUGAACUUGCAGGACUUUCACCAGGUAAAGCGAAUGAUUGGAGGAAUUGGGGGUUGCAGACCUUUGACCUAUUCUCAAACUUUUAAUGGGUGUGUUGUGUGGUUGCUUAGCUGAACCAACAGCUAAUGAUGACUCUUAGUGGGCCACUUUUGGUAAGCAGAACUGGCGAUGAGGGGUGAACCUGAUGAUGGGUUAAGGCACUGAAGUUCUUGCUCAUCAGAAACUGUAAAGGGUGUUGGCUCAUUCUGACAGCAGGUCGGUGGUCAUGGAAGUUGAAAUCCGCUUGGGAGUGUGUAACAACUCACCUGCCGAAUGGACUGGCCCCAAAAAUGGAUGGUGCUCCAGCAGGUGGCUGACACUUGUCAAGUGUGAAUUCUAACCACAAUGUGUAGGAGGGUAUGGUUGUUAGUGCCGAAACAUUGAGUGGUGCUAUGUUCAAGUAAGCAGAAGCUGCUUGAUGCCACGGGUGGAUAAUGGAUUCUGUACGGUGAGAACUGCUGGACAAAGAUUGCCCUUGUGGGCUCAUUCGCACACGAUGAACAACCAGCUCAGAACUGAAGCGGGCAAGGGGAAUCCGACUGUUUAAUUGAAACAAAGCAUUGCGAUGGUCUUAAGGGGUUUUGACACAAUGUGAUUUCUGCCCAGUGCUCUGAAUGUGAAAGUGAGGAGAUUCAAUUAAGCGCGGGUAAACGGCGGGAGUAACUAUGACUCUCUUAAGGUAGCCAAAUGCCUCGUCAUCCAAUUAGUGACGCGCAUGAAUGGAUUAAUGAGAUUCCCACUGUCCCCAUCUACUGUCCAGCGAAACCACAGCCAAGGGAACGGGCUUGGGAGAGCCAGCGGGGAAAGAAGACCCUGUUGAGCUUGACUCUAAUCUGACUUUGUGAAAUGACUUAGGAGGUGUAAAAUAUGUGGGAGCCCAUGUGAUCUUGAAAUACCACUACUCUUGAUGUCACUUUACUUACUCUGUUCCACAGUGACCUGUGCUUGAUCAGGUUUUUGCUGGAAGGCUUCUCCCCUGGAAUUGCUGAGCUGCGUGGAAGAUGCAGUCAGGUGGGAAGUUUGGCUGGGGCGGCACAUCUGUCAAAGGAUAACGCAGGUGUCCGAAGGUUAGCUCAAUGAGAACAGAAAUCUCAUGUGGAUCAAAAGGGACAAUGCUUGCUUGAUUUUGCUUUUCAGUGUGACGACAAACUGUGCAAACAUGGCCUAUCGAUCCUUUAGGACUGAAGAGUGUUCAGCUAGAGGUGUCAGAAAAGUUACCACAGGGAUAACUGGCUUGUGGCAGCCAAGCGUCACAGCGACGUCUU